UGACUNGAGUGCAGAAGGGGAGAGUGGAAUUCCAUGUGUAGCGGUGAAAUGCGUAGAUAUAUGGAGGAACACCAGUGGCGAAAGCGGCUCUCUGGUCUGUCACUGACGCUGAGGCUCGAAAGCGUGGGUAGCGAACAGGAUUAGAUACCCUGGUAGUCCACGCCGUAAACGAUGAGUGCUAGGUGUUAGGCCCUUUCCGGGGCUUAGUGCCGGAGCUAACGCAAUAAGCACUCCGCCUGGGGAGUACGACCGCAAGGUUGAAACUCAAAGGAAUUGACGGGGGCCCGCACAAGCGGUGGAGCAUGUGGUUUAAUUCGAAGCAACGCGAAGAACCUUACCAGGUCUUGACAUCCCGAUGCUAUUCUUAGAGAUAGGAAGUUACUUCGGUACAUCGGAGACAGGUGGUGCAUGGUUGUCGUCAGCUCGUGUCGUGAGAUGUUGGGUUAAGUCCCGCAACGAGCGCAACCCUUAUUGAUAGUUGCCAUCAUUAAGUUGGGCACUCUAGCGAGACUGCCGGUAAUAAACCGGAGGAAGGUGGGGAUGACGUCAAAUCAUCAUGCCCCUUAUGACCUGGGCUACACACGUGCUACAAUGGUCGGUACAACGAGUUGCGAGCCGGUGACGGCAAGCUAAUCUCUGAAAGCCGAUCUCAGUUCGGAUUGGAGGCUGCAACUCGCCUCCAUGAAGUCGGAAUCGCUAGUAAUCGCGGAUCAGCACGCCGCGGUGAAUACGUUCCCGGGCCUUGUACACACCGCCCGUCACACCACGAGAGUUUGUAACACCCGAAGUCGGUGAGGUAACCUUUUAGGGGCCAGCC
rnacentral:rRNA from 1 species